UUGUGCGUUGGUGUUGGUGAGAUGUGGAGAGUUGGUGUGGAGAGAUUUCAACAUGUCAGGUUGGUAUUGGGAAGCAGCUGUCAAAUGAAGCGACGAGGGAUUCAGGUUGGAGAAGAAAAUACUCACGCGAUUGGAAUGGUUGAGCAAUCGGAUUAGAUCUGGAUUGGUCGUCACUUAUCGCAGAAGGCAGUUUCAGGUAUAGUCGAAGUUCUCAACAAUCCAUGGAAAUCCCAAUUUGCAUCAAGUAUAUCGAGAGUCGUGUUGAGCCAACUACGUAAAUUGUUAGCUGAGUGUUCUCAGCACUAAGCCACUUAAUAAUCGAUUAAGCUUAGAUUAUUUGUUGAUUUGGAGGAUUCAGAGGAAUAUCAUAAUUGAUGAGAGAUAUGUCAAACUGAUUUGAGUGAUGUUGAGUUAUGAAAUGGUUUAUUAAAUUAUUGUACAACAGAGCAA